AUACGUAGGGGGCGAGCGUUGUCCGGAAUGAUUGGGCGUAAAGGGCGCGUAGGCGGCCUGUUAAGUCUGGAGUAAAAGUCCUGUUUUCAAGAUGGGAAUUGCUUUGGAUACUGAUGGGCUUGAGUGCAGGAGAGGUUAUCGGAAUUCCCGGUGUAGCGGUGAAAUGCGUAGAGAUCGGGAGGAACACCAGUGGCGAAGGCGGGUAACUGGACUGCAACUGACGCUGAGGCGCGAAAGUGUGGGGAGCAAACAGGAUUAGAUACCCUGGUAGUCCACACCGUAAACGAUGAAUGCUAGGUGUAAGAGGUAUCGACCCCUUCUGUGCCGCAGUAAACACAGUAAGCAUUCCGCCUGGGGAGUACGGUCGCAAGAUUAAAACUCAAAUGAAUUGACGGGG
rnacentral:rRNA from 1 species